GACGAACGCUGGCGGCGUGCCUAAUACAUGCAAGUUGAGCGCUGAAGGUUGGUACUUGUACCAACUGGAUGAGCAGCGAACGGGUGAGUAACGCGUGGGGAAUCUGCCUUGGAGGGGGGGACAACAUUUGGAAACGAAUGCUAAUACCGCAUAAAAACUUUAAACACAAGUUUUAAGUUUGAAAGAUGCAAUUGCAUCACUCAAAGAUGAUCCCGCGUUGUAUUAGCUAGUUGGUGAGGUAAAGGCUCACCAAGGCGAUGAUACAUAGCCGACCUGAGAGGGUGGUCGGCCCACUUGGGACUGAGACACGGCCCCAACUCCUUCCGGAGGCAGCAAUAGGGAAUCUUUGGACAUUGACGGAAGUCUGACCGCGCAACGCCGCGGGAGUGGAGAAGGUUUUCGGAUCGGAAAACUCUGUUGGUAGGGAAGAACGGUGGUGAGGGUGGAAAGCUCAUCCAGUGACGUUAACUACCCAGAAAGCGACGGCUAACUACGUG
rnacentral:rRNA from 1 species